AGUGAACGCUGGCGGUAGGCCUAACACAUGCAAGUCGAACGGCAGCACAGGAGAGCUUGCUCUCUGAGUGGCGAGUGGCGGACGGGUGAGGAAUACAUCGGAAUCUACUCUGUCGUGGGGGAUAACGUAGGGAAACUUACGAUAAUACCGCAUACGACCUACGGGUGAAAGCAGGGGACCUUCGGGCCUUGCGCGAUUGAAUGAGCCGAUGUCGGUUUAGCUAGUUGGCGGGGUAAAGGCCCACCAAGGCGACGAUCCGUAGCUGGUCUGAGAGGAUGAUCAGCCACACUGGAACUGAGACACGGUCCAGACUCCUACGGGAGGCAGCAGUGGGGAAUAUUGGACAAUGGGCGCAAGCCUGAUCCAGCCAUACCGCGUGGGUGAAGAAGGCCUUCGGGUUGUAAAGCCCUUUUGUUGGGAAAGAAAUCCAGCUGGCUAAUACCCGGUUGGGAUGACGGUACCCAAAGAAUAAGCACCGGCUAACUUCGUGCCAGCCGCCGCCGUAA
rnacentral:rRNA from 1 species